rnacentral:misc_RNA from 1 species
GCAAACUUGGUCAUUUAGAGGAAGUAAAAGUCGUAACAAGGUCUCCGUUGGUGAACCAGCGGAGGGAUCAUUACAGAGUGUUAAAACUCCCAAACCCAUGUGAAUAUACCUAUCGUUGCUUCGGCGGGAUCGCCCCGGGCGCCUCGUGUGCCCCGGAUCCAGGCGCCCGCCGGGGAACCAAACUCUUGUUUUUUAAUGAGCAUCUUCUGAGUAAUGUUUUUAAAAAAUAAAUAAAAACUUUCAACAACGGAUCUCUUGGUUCUGGCAUCGAUGAAGAACGCAGC